GGAGGGUGCUGGUGCAAGGCACUAGCGCCAGCUCAGUGGAGAGGCAGAGAAUAGGAGAUACAAACUCGUAAACAGCAGCAGCAGCAGCAGCAGCAGCAGCAGCAGACUGAGUGCCCGGGCACCCGAAAGAACUGAACAUCCUACUCCUCCCGCCCUCCCCCACUUCCAGCAACCGGUUUGCAGAUAAGGAGCACUUCCUGAAUGCUCCGUGUAGGUGGCGGCGUGGGAGGAGGUGAAAUGCAAACGUGAUUUUCCUUGCUGCCUGUCAUCAGUUCUCCGCUCUCCUCCGACUUUCAUGAGUGAUGAGGUCAUCCCGGCGCAGAAAAAAAUUAAACUUCAAGCCCAAUAAAGGCCCGCAUUGUAGGUCUGUGUAAACAGAGGCCAGAAGUGCAGGGAGCCGGGAAGCCGCGCGCACGCCCUCUGGCGGCAGCACGAGACGGUGCGCUCCGCAGCCACGCGGGGAGCGCGCGGCUAACACGGAAGUUAAAAUUAGAUCGAUCGUCAGGCUGGCUGGCUCAAUCAAUGCUUCACAGGGAGAGCAUACAACCAUCUAUUUAUAAGCCAAACCCGGCAUUAUCUCCCUCUUUUAGGACGCAGAGAUCCAUUACUGCGCGCGGCAGGGGAGAGGAUGUUGCACGAAGCUGCUCUGCCACAUUCCAGCCGCAGCGUGACCGCAGACCAGCCAGACCUGCGGCGGGCCCUGGACCUCCUGAGGCUUCCUUCCUCCCCUCUUUACCUUCCUGAGAAUCCUUGGUCUUUCAGGGGGGAAAAAAAGCAUUAAAACGGUCCUUGGGCCUCCUGCCGUUUAAAGGGCCACAGUGGUAACCGCAGACUUAGCAGCCUUUUAAGAAAGGUCUCCCACCCAGCUUCCCUGAGGAACUGCAGCUCUCAUCCUUGCUCAGACAAUCGUUGCUGUAAAUAGCUGCAGUUCUCCUCCUCCCCUGUCAAAACACGGGUGGGAGUGGGUGUGCAGCAGGGACUCUGCACACUUAAGGCCCUGACGAGUUGGACUUGGGGUCCCGCGGCCUCUGCCCUAACAGGACCUCAGCACAGUGCCUGGCCCCUCUGCCCCCUGGAUGACAGUUACCUCUGAUCCUGGAAGAACCUCCACACCUCUCCACUCCUCUCAUUAACAUUGUUAAACUGUUUUCACAUGUUGAAGGAGGAAGGUAAAACCUGAUGCAGCAGCCCUCCAAUACAAGAUCAAAUCAUGUAUCCAAGGAAAAAGCUUUUCUCAUCUUACCUAGGUAAACAGCAUACUGUAUAUUACAUGGACUUAUAUUUAUUUUUUCUAUAUUUAACAACUUUCUUUAAUAAACAGAUACUAUUUUUGCCAGAGAGAACUUUAAUACUGGAAAAAUUUUAAUAUUCGCCUAAACGUACAUUGCACAUAUUUUUGGAAUAAAUUUAUUAGUGGCUCUAUCAUCUGACAUAAAAGGCUUUUGAACUAAAGAUAGAAACUGAAGCCUUCUUUAUUUAGAAGCAACCUUUCUCCUCCUCUUCAACACUUGUUGGCUUCCCUCCAAAGCGUAUUCCGCAUCUGUCCCCUUCUCCACGUCUACACCUCUCCUCCUUAGUCACCGUUUGUUUCCCUUCACCUGGAUUCUGCAAAUAUCUCCUUCCGAGUUUUCUGGAUCCACUUUCUCCCCACUGCGGUUCUCACUACACCCUAUCAGCUAGUUUGCUCUUUUAAAACAUCUGCGUGUCUUCAUGGAGUAAUACAUUGGAGCAAGACCAACAGUGAUACAGAAGCAACUCUGCUGAUCUAAAAGGUGGCGAAGCUACCUCGGGUCCACUUAAGUCUGUUUGAAGGCCUACCCAUACACAUCACUCUUUUCCCGAAAGGCUGUGAGCAGAGAUCUGCUCUGGGAAGGCCCUAAGGUCGGCAGUGGAAGCUAGAAAGUCUAUGCCAGCAGGAUGAAUGAUCUGUCUCCAGCUGGCUGAGUGUUCUGCACCGGAGCCAGGAAGUGAUGCUCCAAAGUAAGGACCAGCGCUCCCUCAAAAUGAACUGCAGCCAUUAUUAGCAACACUAAGGUCUUGAGAUCCUCUGACAAUGAGAACAACCAAGUUCAUGUCAGGAAAGAAGCUCAAAAAGCUCCUCCAGAAGAACCAACAGCAACAUGAGAACCAACGACAACCAAGAGAACUAACACCACCACUGCUUCCUCUCCAGUUCUCCCUUUUAUGCUGGCAGCAAUCCUCAGGUGGGCCAUUCAUGCUCAGCACCAUGCUGAUUCUGUUUAGCUGGUGUUACAAGUUGACCACCAGGCACCACACCAGGCAUUAUGUGUUACAUGGUGGAAGCACUGUACUAAACUACCAAACUAAAUCUGCACAGACCUACAGAUUUAAAUGUCAAUGCACAAAAAUAUGGAAAAAAUGAUAUACGUUAAAUGAUGUCAUGGGGAUGCCAUCAGUUGAAGUCAAGACUCAACCAGACAAAAAGUGCUGUUUCUUUAACAUCAACAAAAAUAAUAAACACCAGGAGAAAAAAAAAAAGCAAAAGAACUAUGGGCUUUACUUAGACUUAAGGACAAUAAUCUCUCAAAAAUACAAAAGACAGUGAUAGAGAUUGUUUAUAGGAUAACCAGAGAAAGUAUAAAUACUAAAUGGAUGCUUGGUAUGAUUAAGGAAUUUAUUAAUGUUGUUUUUAGAGAGCUGUUAGGAGUUUUAGGAGGGGGUGAUGAUGUUGCUGUCCUUGCUUUUUAAAAAAGGGUAAGCCUUGUCUUUUUUAGAUAGACACUAAAACAUUUGGUGAUGAAAUGCUCUGACAUGAGAGAUUUGUUUCAAAAUUUAUCUAGGGCAGAAAGGGAACAGGACAGGUCAUGAGUGGAAAUCAUUCAAGCUGGGUAAAGUAUACACUCUGUAUUUUAGAAUGUGCUUGAAAUUUUCCCUAAUAAAAAAUUCAAUGUGUAACUUAUUGAAGUAUCUGCUGUUUUUACAAACAUAUAUUAAAAUAAUAUUGCACACAAGGCAUUGAGCAUAUAGAGACAAGUUAGUCUUCUGGCCAGAUUCACUGCAUCUUAGUUCCUCUUUCUAAGACAGCAUUGAUUUUAAGAGAUACAAUUAUUUUAAUUGCAGCUUUGGAAUCGACAGACUUGAAGGUCACUGCUCCCUUGGAGUAAGAGGGAGGAAGAGAAAAAAAUUACACACUGAUGCUAAGACACUUCCAAAUUUUAGACUACCCACAUCUUAGAGUUAAGGCAAAAUGCUAAUUUUGGUUGUUAUUUGUAUAUACAGUAAAAUUUGGGUGUAAAUAUUUGAUUCUGCCCAGUGUAACUGUGGUUCUAUCUCCCCCCGCCCCUCCAGUGUGUCAGAAUCCAGUCAUCAAGCUGAAAUAGGUCACUUGGGUCUUACUGAAAGCAGAUGUGUCUUGGUCAUUUGGAAGAUGGAAGAUACAAGAAGUGACUCCAGGUGUGCUCUUCAGGAACACACGCUGUACAGCUGUCUAGCUAGACAAAGCCUUUCAGCCAGAAGUCAGUUUGUUUUGGAUCAGAUCAUUUUCCUGGCAAGCUAUAUUUGUUUUCUAGUGACAGAAAGGUAAGGCGCAAGUCCAAGUCAUUUUUUUCCUUGAAUACUAAAUUUGAGAUAUUUCUGUUUUCAUUGAGCUGAAGCAUUUGUGUCUCAAGCUUCUAGGGAAGUUUAAGGCUUUCUAUACCUCUAGAAAUUAUGACCUACACCUAUUGCAUCUUUAAAAAGACUCACACUCUUUAAAAAUAUCUUCAGUGCUUUUCCACUCGUAUAUUUAAAGUACUUUUCUAUUAUUAUUUCUCUGUAUUUUUUUCUUCAGCUACCAACUGGGUAGAUGAAAAUUUGGCUGAGGAGACGGAGGAGGAUGGAUGGGUGAGAGGAUAUAUAGCAUGAAUGAACUAAUGAACCAGUAUUUUGAAGCAGUGUGUGCAUUGUAGACUUGAUCACUUGGAACCAUACAUUCCAAGUCAGUAAACAUUCAUUUAGCACCUAUCUGAUUUCAGAAAUUUAUUAUAACAUAUAAAAAUACCAUCAGAAGAGAAAUAACAUCAAUAUAGAUCCUGUAGAUAUUAAAAGACUAAUAACAGAAUCUUAUGAACAACUUUAUGCUAAUGCAUUCAAUAAUUUAAACUGACAAAUUCCUACAAAAAAUACAGAGUACUAAAGCUCACUCCAGGAAAAGUAGAUAACCAAACAGCCCUUUAUUUGUAGAAAUGUAACAAAUUUGAGAGGCACAGAUAUUAUUCUCCUUAUUUUGAAGAUGAAGAAAUGAAGGCUUAGAGAGGUAAAGUCUUUUGCUCAAGGCCAUGUCCUGGAAUAUAGGAAAGCCAGGAUUUAAAUCCAGGUUCCUAUCUAAUGUCCUUGCUAAGAAGCCUUGCUGCAAUUGAAAAUUUCAACUCCUUAUUUAUGAGGGAAUUGUUCCUGCCCAAUCCACGCCCUCACUACAUACCAUCCUUUCUUAAGUUCUAUGUUUAUGUUUCAUCAGGGUUAUGUUCUUUGCCUUUGGAAUCCAUGUUUCUGUUUACAUUUGGCAAAAAACUCACCAGGUUACACUCGGACCAAAAUGGACUUAAAAAUAAAAAGCUUCAAUGCUUUUGCUAAUAUAUCAAAAUGUGAAGUUUAUAGCUUUAACUUUUUGGAACAAAAACUAAUAACACUGGCUUAAGUGCUGACUUGAAAUGCUAUUUUGUAAGGAUUGGAUCUGAAUAAUCACCGAGGUCAGCAGUUUUAUAUGAAUGAGACAUAGCUUCCUCCACUGUAUCCUUUUAUUUUCUGUAUUUUAAAAAUGUUUGAUCCAUUCUGUGGUUGAUGGGCAUUUGGGUUGUUUCCAAGAUUUAGCUAUACAAAUUGCACUGCUAUGAACAUGGGUGCACAUAUAUCGCUGAGACAUGACCUUUUCAAUUUUUCUGGGAAAAUACCCAGGAGGGGAAUAGCUGGAUUGCAUGGAACUUCCACUCCUACUGUUUUGAGGAAUCGCCAUACUGAUUUCCACAGUGGCUGCACCAGUCUGCACUCCAACCAACAGUGGAGCAGUGUUCCUUUCUCCCUGAGCCUUGCCCACACUUGUUAUCAGUUGAUUUCUUGAUGGCAGCUAUUCUUUCUGGAGUGAGAUGAAAUCUCAAUGCUGUUUUAAUUUGCAUUUCCCCAAUGACCAGUGAUGGUGAUUUCUUACUGGUUUUUUUUUUGAAAUUGUGUAUUAUUGCUACCCUUUUUUCUGUUUUGCUUUCUUCUCUAAAAAAAAAAACCAGUUUGAGAUGCUUCCUAUAUACUUCUAUGUUAGCUUCGUUGUUUUCCCUCCUUUCUUCCUAUACCUUGCCAACCUUUGUUUUAAAUAAACACAUAAAAAAGGGAAUUAUAGUUGUAGAAACUAUAUUUGCUGGUUUAAAAUUAUUUCAAAAAGUCAAGGGCAAUUCAAAUCUGUAACCAAAAAUCUUUCUCCAGCACAGACUUUCACAGCAGAGAUGCGAGGUCCAGAGCUGGAGGGGGACCAGAGGACCCGAGCUGAAAUCCGCCUAUAUCUUACCAACAGGGUCACCUUGAAUGUGCUUUACUCACUGAGCAUCAUAUGCCUUCAAUAAAAUAUGUCUGAAGAAACCUGCUUUGGGGUAUUCUGGGAUUGAAAUGAAUAACAACAUACCUAAGUGCUUAGUAGAGUGUAAGGACACAGGAGCUUAAGCUAUCCUUAAACUUUCCUGCAGCACAAAGUGAGGCUCUAUCAUUCUGUGAGCAAGUUUUGGAUCUGAUCUUCUGACUGGUAUUAGCAGUAAAUCGGGUCGUUCUACAAAGAAAUCAUUUGGUGAAUUCAUUGUCAAGGAAUUCACAGGUGUGAUAUCAUGGGCUGUUAUCAAAGUCCUAUACCCUGAGUGUUUAAAAUGCAAAUGCUUAUUUCUCACAGCUCAGGAGCAUGGAAAGCCCGAGAUGAAAGUGCUCACCCAUCUUUAAUCUUGUGGAACUUUCUUCCAGACUUG